rnacentral:lncRNA from 1 species
CAGGCUGGGAGCUGAAGCAAGGCCCGGGAUUCUCAAGCCAGCAACUACGGCUCCACAGAGCAGGCCCCCCACCCUCCUCCUGGGCUUGAAAGGGUGGAGAGGUGGGGUUGCCCACCCUGUCAUGCUUCACGGAGGCUCUGUCGCUGUGUCCCAAGAAGCCAAUUCUGUAAGAAAAGAUCCAGCCUUGACGGCCCAUGGAGACGUGCAGAAGAGGCGGCGGCGAGGAGGGGAGGCUGGAGAGGGUCUCUGACCUUUCCCUAUGGUCUCUUAAAUUCGUCCAUGGUAGGAAGGGAGAUGGAGCAUGGGCAGUGCCUCUAAGUCGGCCGUGCGAAUGCAAAGGGCCACAGCACAGGCUCCUACUGUCUUCGAAGCCCCUGAUGCAAGCGUGAGCAUCAGGGCCUCAGGCCGGCUGACCUCCCUUAGCCAGCUGGUAAUCCUAAGAUUCAUGCCAAGACAUUCUCCCCUCCGAGCUGAUGGAACACAGCUGUGCACCAGUAACUUCUGGAUCCUUGGAUUUGGCUGAAGGGAGGUCACCAAAGGUUGCUCGGUCACUGCACGUUCAGAGCCAAGUCACACGUGGACACCCUCAUUGGCCCAGGUUGUCUUUAUCUUGGCAGCGGCCGACCCAGAGCAGACUCUGGGUGGAGUCAGGAUGGUGCAUUGUUCUCCCCCACAGCCGGUGACCCGCUUAGCUGCCUGGGCUGGCACCAGCUGAGGUCUGGCGGAGUGAGGGCCGUCCCCGGUAAUGGCAGGGCCACUGUGUCUGCUGGGUGCGGCAGACGCUUCCUAAGGGCCCACUCUUUGGUUCAACAUGAGCUGAUGCUUGCUCCUGGGUUUCCAAAUCUUUCUGAGAUUCUGCAAGAAUCUGACCUAUUCCUCUGGUUUAUGGAGGCAGCGGGCUGACUUGUGUUUCCCCACCAGCAGAUCAUUGUUCUAGGAAGGGAGGCAAUCAGGGUCCCAAAGGGGCUGCCCAAGGCAGAGUAUUCUUCAGCAGUAGCUGCCCCGUGCCAACUCCUGCAAACUCCUUAGCACAUCCACACUCUCUCAUACGUGUCGAAUCCCUUGGUCCUUGCGACAGCCCUCUGAAAUGCGCGUGACAGCACAGAGGAGGCCAGGGACCAGAAAAGACAACUGCAGGAGAAAGCUGGGGGCUGUGCGGAGAGGUGGAAAGAGCCUGGAUCUCUGAGGGAACUACCCUUUCUAAAUGGCCCCCUUUGUAUUUCUUGUUCUGCAAGGAGAAAUAAGCUCCUAUCUUAUAAUAUGAUGUGGGUUUUCUGUUACCUGUACCCAGUGCAAUCCUAACAGACUUGCCUGGAAUUCAUUCUCAAUCUCCAGCCAAAGGAGAUUACCCAAAGAACUUUUCCUAAAAAUUCACAAAUCGAGAUGGCCCCCAUUAUACCCUGUGCAAAGUCUGAGUUUCAAGGUGUAGGGAGAGUUGACAGAUGGCAAUGCCAUACUAUGGCCUGGAAAGGGAGAAUGUGACUGGCAGUGCCAAAGGAAGAGAGGCUGAGCCCAAGGGAAGACUCAGGCCCUGGCCUUGAGGAAGAGGAAGUCAAAAGCAUCCUGCUGUAGUCCCUUGACCCUGAAAUAUACACAGACACAGACACAUCAAAGUUCCUACUAACACACAGAGACUCACACAUAUUCCCAGAAACACACAGAUACAAGCAGACUCCUACUAAUUCUCCCUCCCUCGCUCUCAUCUACAUACAUUGACUCACAAACACACGGAUUCUUAUCUACAAACUCACCCACGCACAGACAUAUACUCAGAUCCACAAAGCCACACACACAGACACAGACACACAGGGCCACGGGGGGGCAGGGGAGGGGAGGUGUGGAGUGAGCUGGGGAGAAGGUGGCAGUUAGGUGAGUGGAGGUCUUUUCCUUUGCAGGGGAGGUGGUGGGGGUGUCUGGUGAGGGAGACAAAGAGAGAGCCUCCCUAAUUCCUCUGAGAACGUGGUCUGGGUCAGAACAUCUUCCGCCAUAGGAAGCCGCUGGGUGGCUCCCAUGUCCCUGGAAGUCAGCCACUUUUUUCAGAGGGAGGUCAAUCCCUUCCAUGGCAGGUCACCCCGUGUGCAAGGAGCAGGCAGCACCUGGCCAUGGGAAACAAUCAACCCGGGGAUUUUUUCCAUAAAGAGAAAGGUGAGGCCAGACGGAAGCCCAGGUCCCUGAGAACACGGCAAGAUCAGGUUUCCCAUGAAACCGCAGGCUGGAGAGCCUCCCAGUGAAGCAGAGAACCCACGCGGUCCUUGCUCUGGGUCAUGAGACAGGGACAGACAGCUCAGGUGACCCACGCGCUUUCAGACAGGUAAGAGGGGAUCCAGGUCUGGCGCCCCACCCUCCCAGUGACCCUGGGUUAGUGCCUUUCUCUCUCUGGACCACCGGUGGCUCACCUGUAAGGACAGAGGUCUCCCUCUAAAGUCCCACUGAAGUGACUUACAACUUAACAGGCUAAGGUUUUUGCCUCCCUGCUGGGUCCAAAGGAACCAGGGCAGCAGCCCCCACCCUUUGACCAUCGCCCCUUCUGCUGCCGUUCCUCAGUGUCUUGGCAAGAGGGCAGGGGAAAGGGCUCCUGUUGCAGGGCACACCGGGCCUUCCGUACACCCUUACUGCUGGCCCUGCCUGCACCAGCACCCACCUGCAUGGUGCCAGAAUCUUGUUGAGAUUUGGUUUGUCGGUGAAGAGAGGGAGUACCCAGGGACUUCCGAGAGCCCUGGCAAAGCUGACCUGGAUGGCAGGUGGUUCUCAUCGUCAGUUUCUUGUGCCCAAGUAGCUGCCUUUUCCCACUCCCUCUGACACUCUCUGAAGGGAUCCCUGAAGGCUCCUGGGCUCUGCCAGGGAGGAGACACACUCCUGAGCCUGGCACCCUUUCCACUGAAGCACAUACUAAGGCUUUCCAGAAGUCUGUCCUGGGCUCCUAUCCAGAGGUCUGGCUACUUUUCCUGAGGACUCUGGCUCCAGGGGCUCUUGAGGUCAGGCAGGACCUUCAAAUGGCAGUGAUCCAAGGCCACGUGCCCAUAGAGGACAGGAAAGCCAGCUGGGCAUGAGCUCCUCUGGAGCAGCUUCAGGUAGGACAGGGGAGACAGAACAGCCACAGCCCCACCCUCACUUCAGACACCACCACAGCCACCACCCAGGCCUCUGGCCAGUCCUGAAGUUCCGCUUCUGGCCUGACCUUGUGCUAUGGGCUAAACUGUGUACUCCCUGCCACACACAAUGCUGAUGCGGAAACUCUAAUCCCCAGUACCUCAAAGUUGGAUGUAUUUGGACAUAGGGGCUUUAAAGAGCUGAUUAAUUUAAAGUGAGGUCACUGGGGUGGAACCUGAUCCAACAUGACCGGUGUCCUUAUUAGAAGAGGGCAUCGGGAUACAGAUGAGUGCAGUGGAAAGACCCUGUGAAGACACAGGGAGAAGACGGUUAUCUGCAAGCCAAGGAAAGAGGCCUGGAGCAGAUGUUUCUUGGAACAAAACCAGCCCUGCUGACACCUUGAUCUUGGACUUCCAGCCUCCAGAACUAUGAGACAUAAACUUCUGUUGUUUAAGCCAAUCAGUCUGAGGCACUUUGCAGCCUGCACUGACUAACACACCUGUGUGGAGCCUCAGGUAAGCAUCUUCUUCUCCAGGACCCUCCUAGGCCUGUCCUGUACUCAUGGGAAGGAAGACUGCCCCACCACUCCACCAAUCAGCUCUUUCAUCCCCUGGCUCCCUGUGGAAGUCACCACCUUUGCUGGAAGAGGAAAACCUUCUCCAUGGCAGGCCAUGUCUCUGAGGGUCCCCAAAACCCCCACAGGCCAGCAGAGCAGCUCUCAGCUUCCAUGAUCUUUAGAGCCCCUGCUGGCUCUGAUUCCCAACAGGUCUCACAGCUCACAGACCAUCUGAGGGCUGUUCUCAAAAGGGCACUGGCAGAGGCCUUGAGCAGGAAGUGCUGCAGGUCCUAAGAGCCCUCAGAAGGCUGGCACGAGGUCAGAGAAGGGAGGCCGGCCCCAUCAGCAGCCCCCUCCUCACCUGUACAGCAAUGCAGGGGGUGCCCUCUGUUCCAGUCCAGAAGAAGAAAGGGCUCACACAGCAAGUGCUGAAGGCAUCCCUCCCAAAGUCUGAUGGGAAACUCCCUUCCUAGUCCUCACAAGACUUCCAAGGGACAGAGGAAUGCAACAGACAGAGAAAACACCCUGCCCUGAAUCCCGGGACAUUGCCCCAGCAGUGAAUGUGGAAAUCUUGCCAAGUUUCCCCAGGGAGGGCUGAACCCUGGAGCCAAUUGUGAGGCUCCAUGUGACUCCAAGUCCUACAGCUCAUGCCAAAGGGCUGCAUCUGCCUGUGGCCCUCCUGGGCUGGGGGAGACAGUCUUCUCUGCUUUGAGUAGUAUCAGUCUGCAUAGGUGGACGCCAUCCACAAAGAACGUAGGGGUAGACGAGGCCCUGUGGACAGGCCCCACGGCGUGGGCCAGGCUGCUCCCUGGCUGCUGUGGAGGUCAGGGAGGUCGACUGCAGCAGCUUGCUUGGUGCAGUGAGGACAGUCCAAAGAGUCAGCAAGGGCCAGCAUCUUCAGAGAAAAGCAGGAUCCAGAGGCUCCCCAGGUCCCCAUAUCUCUGGUGGGUGUCAGGCCUCUUGGAGGAAGCCUGGUGGGACCCUCACUAGAGGUGACACUGGAGAGAAGAUGAUGUCAGGGACAGAGGUGUCCAAGCACCCAUUUCUUCCCCACUCCCCAAAACAGGAGUGAAGGAUCAGCAACCAAAAGAAGAAACACAGGAAAACCAGCAGGGCAUUCUGGAAUGGAGCGGACCUAAUCCUUCCAGUGCUCUGAGAAUGGGACCCAACUCCUCUCCAGACACCAAGGAGCUGACUCUUCCCACCCCUUCCUCCCUCUCUUCCCUUCUGACCAAGGGCCCACCAAGCCCUUUCCUGCUUCCAGACUUUGGUUCUUCCUGGAAUGUUCUUCCCUCAGCUUCCUUGUGGCUGUUUCCUCCCCACACCCCAGGUCUCAUCUCAGAUGUCCUGUCCGCGAGAAGCCCCUCCAGGGCCACCUUGUAGCGCAGCUUGCCCAGUUACUCUCUCCUUCCACCCUGCUGCUUUCCUCCAUGUAACUCACCACAAUCCAUCAUUAUCUUCCUUUUUCUUCUUUGUUUAUUGUCAACCUCCCAUCAAAAAGCAAGCUCCAAGGGCCCAUGUCUAGCAUGCAAUAAGCGUUACACAAACAUGUGGUGAAUCAAAUGAACAAACAAUCUUGUUACCAAUCUGGAUGUAACUCAGGCCAAUCUGCCGUCCUUUCCUGGUGGGGAGAGGGGGGCAUGUUGCUGCCCCUGCACAUCUGGAGGAAAGAAUGAGGGGGCAGGUGGGAUGACAGUCCCCUCACAUCCUAGGUCAUCCGCAAUCCAAUGCCCCUGCACUCUCCACUCUUACAUUCUCUGUGUUAACAAGGGAGGGAGGAUCACUGAAAUCUGAAGAUAAUCCCCAAACGUCAUUUCAGCUGUCUGUGUCAACCUCCUCUGAAGCUAUGCUUUCCUUUGCCCCAGCAGUUGCUAACGAGGCACAAAAGAAUAAAUGUUUCAAGUUGCACAACCUAUCCUUUCCCUGCCACUUUCGGAUCAAGGUGCAGGCGGCAGGAAGUUGGGGGGAGGGGAGCCCCGUAAUCCCAAACUGGGUUAUUUGACACUCCGUGAUCUAGUUAACUAUAGUCUUCCUGCACCUGUUUUACAGCCAAGGAGAAAAGACAGGUCUUGCAAAUGAUUCCCAGUGUGUGUGUGUGAGUGUGUGUGUGUGUGUGUGUGUCACAAGAGCUUGGGGCAGGAAUAGGGCUGUACGACACAGUGGGGCAGGAGCAGGAACCUGGGUCCUGUGUCUGUGCCACAGGUGAGGCAGCUCAGGCCAGCUCAGGCCUCCCAACAGCCCUAAGUCCCAGUCCAGUCAAGGAGUCCCUCAGAUGCUGCCUGGUCUUCCUUGGCACUUCCAGAGCCAAAUCUGGAUGUGCACAGCCCGCCCCCACCUCUCUGUGCUGGGUCUCCACAAGCAGCUGCUGGGCACAUCUCUGCCCUUCGACUUGUCAUCUUUGCUCCCAAAGCAUGGAAAUCCUUUAUUGAGAGUGUGCAACAGCAUUAGGGCCAACCCCUGGGGCCCUGCCCAGUCCUGUGGGAAUUGGCUGCCAAGUCCACACUGGGGCUGAGCCCUUCAAGCAAGAGGGGCCGGUUCUCCUGAGGGCCACCACUCACCGAAAGAACCAAAGCAACCAGAGGGUCAAAGAAAGUGUCUCUGCUUUGUGUGUGUGCUGACAAUGGCAGAGGGUUCUAGUGUUUCUGUUUUCUCUGACUUGCACAAAUAAUCAUAAUAGCUGCCAUACAUGGAACGCAUGCUACAUGCCCGGACAUCCUCCACAUCAUCUCAUUUAAUCUGCACCAUAGCCCUAGGAGGGAGGAGGGACUAUUCUUCCCAUUUGCAGAUAAGAAAGCUGAGGCUACUGAGAGUAAAUGUCUUGCCUCCAGAGGUGGAGCCUGAACUGUGGUCUGAAUAACACCAAGUUCCAUGCUUUUCAAAGCUCUGCAUCCCAAACCUGUUUACUAUCCCCGUGCCACCUGCCCCCGGCCCCAUAAGUGCUCUCCUGGCAACAAAAAGCCCAAAAGACACUAUUUCCUCAAGUAAAAUGCCCUUAACGCUCUGGCCAAACCCAGAACUUCCGUUAACUUGGGGAGCUCAAUGAUCAGGAGUCUUUUCUGCUCAAGCACAGGAACCCCUGGAGAUCCUCCAGGAAUUUCUUUUUCUUUUUCUUUUCUUUGAGACGGAGUCUCGCCCUGUCACCCAGGCUGGAGUGCAAUGGUGCGAUCUCGGCUCACUGUAACCUCUGCCUCCCAGGCUCAAGCGAUUCUCCUGCCUCAGCCUCCCGAGUAGCUGGGAUUACAGGCAUGCGCCACCACACCCGGCUAAUUCUUGUAUUUUUAGUAGAGACAGGGUUUCACCAUGUUGCCCAGGCUGGUCUCAAAAUCCUGACCUCAGGUGAUCCACCCGCCUCAGCCUCCCAAAGUGCUGGGAUUACAGGCGUGAGCCACCGCACCCAGCCAAUCCUCCAGGAAUUUCUAUGUGGCAUUUGGGGACAAGAGUGGUCCUGAGAGAUCAGAGAACUCACAUCCAGGGAGGUGAAAACAUGGAUGGGCCAAGGGUGUCCAGGGAAUGAGCACAGCUGGGCCAGGGAGACCCCGUUUGGCACAGUGCGCCACAUGGGUCGAGUCACAAGAUCAGGGACUCUUUUCAUCUGUAAAGACUGCAGUCAAACCACCUCCACCUAAUUUCCUGGCUCUACCAGCUUUUCUGAGUCACCAGAUCACAAACUUCACUGCUACAAAGAAUUGUCCUAUUGUAUCAAGUUCUCCUAAGAGGUUGACUACUUAAGAAGCAUGUGGAAUGUGGAAUGUCAAAGCUGGAAGGGAUUCAGAGGCCAGCAGCCUGACCAUAAUCCCACAGAUGAGGAGACUGAGGUCUAGAGAGGUCACCAGACUUAUCUGAUACCCUGUAGACUGAACAUGGAGCCAAAUACGUAGGUAAGGUUUGUGAUGCUCAUGUCUCCCAAGGGAAAAGAUGCAUCCACACAGAUCACAGUUGGAGUGAAACUCUUCCACUGGGAAUUCUCUCUCCCAAAUGCAGUAUCUAAGGUGUCAGUUUCUCCCAGUAGGUACUAACCUUACCUGGCCAUAAUGAAGCCCACUCCUUGCCUUGGGGUCUCUGUCCUCAAAGCUGGAGCCGCUCCAGCCACUAAGUACCUUCCUGCCUCAGAUGACCAACCCUUUUCCCUGCACCCCCCACAAAAAAACAUGAAAGUAUAAAUACAGGUAAUGGAAAUGUGACAGGGGACCCACAUAUUCAAAGGGUGCCCGAGGCUUUUAUAGGGUGGGUGGACAAUGCCUUAGAGUCAGGAAGACCAAGAAGGGUGGGGGCCCAGGAACUUUGCUUUGCUGUGAAUAAAUCCACAAAUGAUCAGAUCUAAACACACAUAUUCACACACACACGUGCAAGCACUAUCUAUCUGGCACUGAUGACUGUCUGAUCUUGUGCCUUAAUCAGGCUACACUAGCUAAGCUCCCAGCCUUGCCCAGUAAGAUUUUUUUUUUUUUUUGAGACGGCGUUUCACUCUCGUUGCCCAGGCUGGAGUGCAAUGGCGCAAUCUCG